AUACCUCCGCGCCCUCCCCGUUUGAAGCAGAAGUCUCUUGUUUUCCUUCAACAGCCAUCCUGGACGGCUGGCAUCGUCGAGGCCACCAGGUAAGGUCAGGCUGCGGAUCCGCGAGGCUUGCUUGCAAGAAGCUGCCGAGCCGAGGCGGCAACUUUCUGCACCUCUACCAUUGGUUUUGGCGUGGGUGGGGGUAGGAUUGCUUGUGAGUAAAUAGGCAGGGGGAGGUUUGGGGAGAAAGGGUGAAGGGGCAGAACAGGAAAUGAGGGAUUUGGAUCGAUAACCCGGCAUCUGUGGAAAGCUUUGAGCACAAGCCUUGUCAGCCUAUUCCCUCCCAACCCUCCUUAAACAGAUGACUUGCCUUUUGCAACCAAUCCUACCUACACACACAAAUCCCUCAGUAAAUUCCCUCAAUUUCUUGUUCCAUUCAUCCAGUGCCCAAUUUAUGUAUAAGCUAAACAAGCUAUAGCUUAGGGCCCCACUCUCUUGGGGGGCCCCAAAAAAUUUAAAGGGGGGAAAACUGGAUAUACAUUUCCAAAAUAGAAGAUUAAAAACAAAUAAAAUAAAAUCUACAUAUAGCAACAGUGUUUUGUGUUGUGUAAGCUCCUAUGAUGUAAGUAAUGGGGCCCCGCCUGCUCCCUAAAAUAUUCAACACAAAAAACAGUGGCAAUUUGUUGUUGACAAAGGACAGCUGGACAUAUAAAGGGCCCCAUUACCUUCAAUAGCUUAGGGCCUCAUCAAACCUAAAUCCAGCCCUGCAUGUAUCCAUUGCAUUAUAUAUGUAUGUGUGUGUGUGUUUUGUUGCAUCUUUUAUGUUUUUAUCUAUUGUAUUACAAUUUGAAUUCAGUUUGAAUUCAAAUUGUAAUGUAAUAAACUGCAAUUAAAAAUCAUACAGCAUCUAGCACAGUGCAUUGAAAUUUUCUACAAAAGGCAGAAAAACCAUUAAGUGGUCCCUCCAGAGUCCCAGCAAUUUUCAAGUGAUCCAUUAGGUGGUUGUGUGGAGUAGUUUAGGAACCCCUGUUCUAGAAGGUUAAUGGAUGGCUUUCAUGUGUGAACAAGCCAUCAAAUACUGAACAGGUAGAACAUUCGUGUUUCCUUAGACACAUGGGGUUUCAAUGGAAUCAAUCCAUACACAGAAAUCAUGUGCUUAUGCGCAUGUGUGAACCAGCCCAUAUGAGAGUUUUCUCUGACAUGCAUAGUAUUGUUUGGUUAUACUUUGUGAGCAGCAGAAGUUGCCCUCUUGCUAACUACACACACACACACAGAUGGGAAACUCAGGAAAUAAGUUCCCAGAAAUAGAAGUUAAAACUCAUCUGCUUACUCAAGCAAUGGGUGGAGAAAGCCCAACUCAGCUGGCUGUCUUGUAUUUUCACUUAUGUAGCCCUCCAUCUUCUUCUACUGGUAUAAAAAGGGCUAUAUUAAUAAAGCUAAUUCCAUACAUUAUAGGGCACAUCCCUCUAUUCUAAUAUCUGCCCCAUCAUUAAGCACCAGCAUUAUUAGCAAGAGGUUAUUGAGAGGGGAAAGUGGCCAGCUGGCACCCUGCAGACUAGGAUUUAAUUAACCAUUUAUGUGAGGUUGGGGCCUCUUGCUUGGAUAAUGUGGCUGCUCACUUGAAAGGGAUUAACUCAGAGCCAGGGAAUAGGUAAUAAAGGCUUCUCUUGAGCAGCUGCCUUGGUGACUGGUAAUUUAAUUGGCGAGUCUGAAACCCAUUAAAGAGAGGAGCAUUGAAAAGCAGGGCGGAAGGGUCAGGGACACCCCAUCCUUGGGAAAGGGUCAAAGCCAAGGGAAGACCUUGACCUGCUCUAAGGGAAGAAGUUCCCAGAGCUAGAAAUGUAGAUUUAAGAAGGGCGUGUGUGACUGUAGGUGAAGAAACAGCACGGAAGGCAGUGGGGUCAAGAAGAUGCUUGCAGGCAGUGGUAACUGGUGCCUAUUGGGACUUGCAGGGUGAAAGCUGGAGAUGUCCACAGUAGGUAGAGCCAGAACCAAAAACAGGCACAGCCAACUAAUUCUAUUUUUGCCCCCAGCACCCUCCUUGCCGAGUUAUACAGCAGCAACAUGGAGACUGAGAAGCAAAAAGUACCGGCUAGUGCCACCCCCAGACUGCUUGUAGCACCUAGUUUAGGCAAUCCUAUCCAGCUGUGUUGAUGUGUUUCAACCUUAGUGUUUUUUAUAUUUAUUGUAAACUGCUUAGAAGUUUUACUACCAUCGAGCAGUAUGUAAACUGUGCAACGUAAGCAAGUAAAUUUUGCCUUAAUAGAGACCAGCCUCUCCUGCUUUUGCAGGUCCUGCAGGUUUUGGGGGAAGGGCCUUAGCUCUCCUCUACUUAACCCCACCCACUUAACAUCAUUCCUCUCCCACCUGUGGCUCAGCUCCUGUGUUAAAGUGGCCCCUUUUUUUCCUGGUUGCCUUAGUUAAGCCCUGUUACAUGGAAGCCAAAGCAGAUGCAAAAUAGAAGUGAGCAGCUGCGGUUCUUAAUAAAGGGAGAGUGCUGGUUGAGCAUCUGUUGAUGUUCACAGUGGGGAGCAGAGAUUUCUCAAAGCCUUUUUGCCUGUGUCUUGGCCAUACUGGGCAUUAUAGGAGAAGUGGAGAACACUCUUCCCUCCAGAUUUUGUUGGAUUCGACCUUCCAUCAGCCCCAGCUCCAAUGGUCAGGGUCAGGAUGAUGGAGAAAUGUAGAGCAAAAACUUAUGGAGGGCCACAGGUUCCCCAGCCCUGUGGGUGUUGUCAAUUCUCUUCUUCGCUCAAGUAUUAUUCUUACAAUGUUUCUCCAGUGUUUCUCCUUAUUGCUUUUAAACUGCUUGAAACCAUUUUCCUGCCAGCUGCCAUUUUAUUACCUUUUUAGUAUUGUGUUGUAGCAUUUUAAAUAGAAGUUCAGUAUGCCCAAAGACUUCAGUGUAUUUUCAUAUUGGGUGGGGAGGACUAUGCACAUAUGUGAACACGCGCACAACAGUAGUUCAACUAUAAUUUCUGGUGUAUUAAUACCAUAUGGCGCACACAUACACAUACACACACACACAGCUUGCAAAAAAGCUGCUUGUGAAGGAGUGGCCCUUUUGCGUUUCAAAACCCCACAAACAUUUGCAUGGUGGAUAAACAUGCACAUCUACCGAAGUUUGCAUUUCACAGAAUCAUAGAGUUGGAAGGGAAACUGAGGAUCAUCUAGUCCAGGGGUAGUCAACCUUUUUAUACCUACCGUCCACUAAUGCCUCUUUCUUGAUGGUAAAAUUUCCUUACCACCCACCAGUGUUCAAUGGAAGGAAGAUUCAGCUUGUGCCGUAGAACCCCCUACCGCCCACCUAGAAUCCUAAAACGCCCACUAGUGGGCGGUAGGGGCCAGGUUGACAGCCCCUGAUCUAUUCCAACCCCCUGCAAUGCAGGAAUAGGCAGCUGUCCCAAACGGGGAUUGAACCUGCAACCUUGGCAUUAUCAGCACCACGCUCUAACCAACUGAGCUAUCCACAUGUCCCACUUCAUUUCUAGACCACUAUAAGGGAAUUGUACUCUUAAGUGGUUCCCCCCAAUGUAGGAGGUAUCUAUGAGAAUGAAACGGAGACCAGCUUUUGAAACAAGAGAGUCAUACAUGUGCCACAGACCAUGCCUUACUGUGGAUGGGAAGCAGGGCUGUGGAGGAAUGUUAAUGCCCACAGCUCUCUGAUUCAUGCCAUAAAUAGUAAAUGUAUCAGACAGAGUCAUAGGUAUUGAUGCUUCAGUUUUUCUUGUGUUACGGAGCUUAGCAAAUGGAAUUAGAUUGCGGGGCCUUUCUUCCUGAUCCUGCUAGGAAGCACACACACACACACACACACACACACACACCCCUUCCUUCAACAUACACACAUCCCAGAUGCUGGGUGGAAGAUUUUGUUGCCUGCUGCUGCUGCUCCAACCCCAAGGAUUAACCUCCAUAGGAAGAGUUUGGAAUGGGGGAGGGGAAAAGGAUGGAGGAGGAAAUGCAAUUCUGAGCCCACCAGGAGGCCAUGCAAAGCCUUCCCCUCCCCCCACAGCGGCAGUGCUAAGCAUCUUCUGUCUCCAUGGCAACAUAUCUGUGGCUAGCUGCCCAUUAGGUUACUUGGCUGUGGGCUUAUUUUGCAAUAUAUUAUUUUUUUAUCCCUCCUCCAUUUGCUUGGAGAUUUAUGCUCUUUCCCAGCUUUUAGAAACAGGAUUUCAGUUCUCCCCUCUCCAACCCCCCCCCUUUUUUUAGCCCACAUUUUUUGUACUGACACAUAUGGAGAGCACAUGUUUUCCCAAAGCCACAGCUCUCUGUUUGAGGUGGGAAGGCGGAUAGAACAAAUCUCCCAGCCUUCAUGAGGAAAAGUUGCUGAUGCGGUGGCAAAUGUUUGAGAGUCAGCUCUCUCUCACACACACAUACACACAUACCCAUGCUGUUGACAAUAUGGCAUUCAAAAUGGAGGCCACAAGAAUGUGAGGAAGAGCUCAAGGGGUAACGUGCUAAAUUGGAGAGGCGAAGCAACAGAGAAAUUGAAAACUGGUGGAGAAAGGCAAGGCAAGCUUGAGUACAUCAGCAGAGGGGGCAAGAACACAUUUCUCCAAGGCAUGCUAAAUGACCACUGCUUUAAUUGAUUCACAGCCAUGAACCACCAAGGUCUCCUUCAGUGUCUUUUUUUCUCAAUGACUUGUACUCAUGAUAGCAUUGGUUUGCUUAUAUGCAAUGCCAAUUGCAGUCCAAAACUGUCUGUGCCUGCAACUGUUUUGGGACAGACAUUCUGCUAUGUUUCCAAGCAGUGCAUGGCCUGUAAAGGUAAAGGGCCCCUGACAGUUAAGUCCAGUCGCGAACAACUCUGUGGUUGCAGCGCUCAUCUCGCUUUACUGGCCGAGGGAGCUGACAUUUGUCCGCAGACAGUUUUUCCAGAUCAUGUGACCAGCAUGACUAAGCUGCUUCUGGCGAAACCAGAGCAGCGCACGGAAACACUGGGAGCCAGUGUGGUAUAGUGGUUAAGAGCAGUAGACUCGUAAUCUGGUGAACCGGGUUCGCAUCCCCGCUCCUCCACAUGCAGCUGCUGGGUGACCUUGGGCUAGUCACACUUCUCUGAAGUUUCUCAGCCCCACUCACCUCACAGAGUGUUUGUUGUGGGGGAGGAAGGGAAAGGAGAUUGUUAGCCGCUUUGAGGCUCCUUAGGGUAGUGAUAAAGCGGGAUAUCAAAUCCAAACUCUUCUUCCACCUUCCCCCCAGAGUGGUACCUAUCUAUCUACUUGCACUUUGACAUGCUUUCAAACAGCUAGGUUGGCGGGAGGCAUGGCCCAUAGCUUCCUACUUAAACCCUGUAGUUUUUCAUACCACAAAUGUUCUGCGGGGGGUGGGGGGCUGUCCCGCUUUUGUUUCUCUAUAUAGCACAAGAAUGUCCCUCCAGAUGGCGAUAAUGCCGUACCAUUUGGGAAGCAUUGCUGAACAACUAAAAAGAAGCAGAAAAUGUGCGGACAGUCCAGUACAACUAACAAAUUAAUAUUAUUAUCAUUAUUAUUGUGUUAAUAACUUGUUGCUGAAUACACCCACAAAAGAAGUCCGAAGGGGCCCUGAUAAAGUUGUGAAAAUAAACAGAAGCCAAUCACAUUUUCAAAGCCUCUGCACUUUACAGAUUACACCAAUUCCCCUACACAGCAAUUGAGUUCCAUUUAGCAAUGUUAUAACGUGUCCCUUAGCUCUGCUUGGCAGAAUACAUUCCUCCAAGUUAAGCGUAAGAGUGGAAAUGGGAUGGGAUCCCAGAAUGUAACAGACACAUUUUUGUAUCCCUUUAGAGAGGACAAGCAAGGACACACGCAGAGGGGAAGCCAUAUGGAAUAAUUAAUAAGCAUGUUUUGGCUCUGUGUAUAUGCUUGUUAUUAUGAGCGGUGCAAUGUUUUCCAAGCAUGCUUGUGAGCAUCUGCAGCAAAGAAGCAAUUACAUUACAUGUACCAUGGACUCUCCAACAAAGCCCUGCACUCUAGCCUCUUCACGAUGAUGAUGAAGCAGCAUCAAAUUCAUCAGACAUGUCACAUAAUUUCCAUUGUCACCAGCUAGAGAAAACUGGCCUGCACCUAGGGCUGUUGAGAAACAUCAAGCCCAAGCUUAGACAGUGAACAGGUAUAGCCAGUGGGCUACAUGUGAAUGAACCUUUCUUUUUCUUAGUGGGAGAGUCAUGGUGAACAGGGAAAUAGAUGCCUUUGAGUUACAAUGUGGCCUGUUUCAACAGUCAAUGGUCACAUUAGGUUAUGCAUUUCAUAGCACUGUAAGCAGAAACCCAGAUUCCUUGGUUGUAUCAUACAUGCCACGCAGACACGGCUCUUUGCCACCAUUUUCUGUCAUAACAGCAUUCCUCAAGGACUUGUUCCAGAGCAAAGAUCAUCCUUACAUCUCAAUUCUAUUCCAUGUAUAAAAGGUAAAGGGACCCCUGACCAUUAGGUUCAGUCGUGGCCCACUCUGGGGUUGCGGCGCUCAUCUUGCUUUAUUGGCUGAGGGAGCCGGCAUACAGCUUCCGGGUCAUGUGGCCAGCAUGACUAAGCUGCUUCUGGCGAACCAGAGCAGCGCACAGAAACGCCGUUUACCUUCCCGCUGUAGUGGUACCUAUUUAUCUACCUGCACUUUGACGUGCUUUUAAACUGCUAGGUUGGCAGGAGCAGGGACCGAGCAACGGGAGCUCACCCUGUCGUGGGGAUUCGAACCGCCGACCUUCUGAUCAGCAAGUCCUAGGCUCUGUAGUUUAACCCACAGCACCACCCCCGUCCCUAUUCCAUGUAUACUUAGAAAUAAUUCCCACAAUGUUCAAUGAGGCUUGCUCCCACGAGUGUGUGCUUGCAUUGCAGUCUUAGUGACAUUCGUAAAAAACAGCUGAAGACAUGCAGACACAUUUUCUCUUAUGCAGAGGAAGCUGCCAUUAGUCCAUCUAGCUCAUUCCUCUUCUCCAAGCAGCAGGGGCCCUCCAAACGUUUCAGGCAGAGAGGCCUCACCGCCUUGCUAUCUGUGAUCCUUUUAAUUAGUGAUGCAAUGGACUGAAUCUGGAGCCAUCUGCAUCUAUGCCUGCCCCUAUCAGCAUGGCAAAGCCUUCCAAGUUAUAAAGGUAGAAAUUAAAGGGUAUUUGAGGUGAGUCAGGGUGUUGUGAAAUCAGAAUAUUACUGUCCUUCAUACCUAUGAAAAGCUAAUGUCCAGUUACCAAAUUAGAAUUGCAAAUUGAACUUCCACAGAAUUUAGCGCUUGCUUUCUUAAUUUAUGCUGUGCUUUUUCUCUUGCUGGGGGGAAAGUGGUAUGUAAGGAGAAGAGAUGGUUGGCAUCUCAGCUUCACGGAGCUAACUUGUCAAUGGCUUUAGCAGGCACCCAGCUGCCGAUGCUUACAAGGGGAAUGGGAUGAGCUAGUUGUCUUUGAGGAUCAGACCGCUGGGAGUCAAUCAGCCUUGACAGCGCUGCUGAGUUUUGCACUGUGAUGGCUUGAGCAUCUCCCAAGGGCAAAAGGCAGCCACUUAUCAGCACUUUGCCAAGCAUGGAAGGAGGCAGCAAAUAGUUCACAAAUAGCAGGGGGAGAAAAAGCCCCGUGAUCAAAGCUAUAGGGAGUGCAAAUCUGCUUCCUUAACCCCUCCCACCGUUGCCCAUCACUGUUUGUUCUCAUAAGUACAUUUAGUUGCCGGUUUAAUAAUGGGAAAUGAUAAGUGAAGCCUAAGGAGCUAAGGAUUUAGGAUAUUGUGCACUGGAGCAAAUGUACAGGUUGGACUUACACUGGAUGCAUGCUAGCAAUGCACAGUAAUGUGUGACCCACAUUCUGGAAAUUCAUGAGCUGUCUGCCUCCUCCUAUCUCUUUCUCCAAGCAAAGCUCCUGCAUCCCAAGAGAAAGUGGCAAUAGCCAGAGGACCACAGGCAAUUAUGGCGACUACCAUUCACCAAUCCCCUAAAUGCCCAGCACAAAGUGAGAAAUGUUCUCCCUUCUCUAAGUUCUCUACGCAUUGCAGAGAAUUCACUGCGGUGCAAUCCUACACAUAGGGUGGUAUCCAGUUUGCUCACUGUGUUAGCACAUGGGUUUCCCUUUGCACAAUGGAACUUCUCCUUCUUCUCUCCCCAUGUGUCCUUGCUGCACCCUCCCCAAAUUGGCUGCAGGGGUUUGAAGGAACCACCAGAAUAGAUUUAGGGGGCAAGCAGUGAAAGGAAGGUGAGAUGAAGCUCUGUUGCGCAGCCCAAAGUUCUUCUGCUAACAGAACUGCUUUGUUGGCCACCACCCCCAGUUUCCUGGGAGUACGCUCCAGAUGAACUCAUUGAUGCUUACGUCCAGACUGCUUAGGUUCAAAACACAUUGAGAUUUAGCAAAAGAUCCACAUCCACAUGAAUUCCAGCCUUCAGCUUUUAAUAAGAAAUGCAAACAAGGAUCUUGCAAACAAGUGUUACGGUUUAAACUGUUAGUGUGAAGUAGGAACCCCAUUAAAGAAAAGGAAAUAUGCAUUAGCCUCUGCUUGAUUAUUUCCCUCCAUCUGUUCCUCUCUGCUAAUCUGCCACAAACAACCCUGAAAGCCUUAUUCACUUGCCAGAGCAAGUGAAUUUACGGUGGCAGAAGAUGAUGUCCUGCUUGGCGAAAAAAGUCCUGAAAUUUCACUCGCCUGCAUUCUCUUUCCGCUACACAACUGACUUGAAGUAUGAGGCAACUUUUGCUUCACACGGGACCUUCCCGCAGAACUUGAACUAAGUGACCCUUUUACUUUGCACCCUGUGUGGAGAGAUUAUUAGAAGCAGAGCUAGCGAGGGGGAAUUGUGUUGCUUCUGACUAGUCCAAAGCCCAGAUCAAAGUGAGAGAUAAGAUACAGUGCUGCCUGUUGCUCUGCAGAGUAGAAGGCACAGAGACCAAAAGGAGGUGGAACCAGAGCCAAUAGGAGGCAGAGUCAACUCAUUUUGCCCCUAAAUGCCUCCCUGCUAAAUUCUACAACACUGAGAUUAAGGGAAAGGAAGCAGACAGGCAGUGCCUUCCCCCUGGACUGGUUGCAAGUAAAAAGCCAACAAUGCCAUACUUGAAAAAUCCACCCUGAACCAAGUGGGGAGGGCAAGUAGGUGGAGUUUGUUUGUUUUUUUUAAAAUAAUAUUUAUUACAUAUUUAAAGUUCCAAAAAAGAAAAAGAAAAACAAUACAAAAUACAAAGAAAACUUUAGCCAUAACAAAGCAAGAAAUAAAGAAGUAAAAAAGAACAAUAAGAUAGAAUAAAAAAGAAAACUUAACAAAAAAUAUAAAAAUACAUUGAGUUAAAAAACAAAAACAGAUUAAACCUUUACAUAGCCUUUUCCCUUUACUUAUUUCCAUGACCUCCUCUCACCUCCCAGUUUUGUAUUCUAGUUCAGAUCGUGUUUCCAGCAAAUCCUUCUAACCUUAUUUUCAUUUACGUAUUUUAAAAUUAAAAUAAUGUGAUUAGACCUCCUCUAUUUCAUCAAUUUCAUCAACUCAUUUUGCUUAGACCAUUAUAUCAUCUCUACCAGAACGACCUAAUAUUCUUUUUCCAACCUCUUUCUAACAUUCUUUUAUAUUGCAGUACUUUUGAAGAUAUAUUUUGAAUUUUUUCCAGUCUUCUUCCAUCGACCCUUCUCCCUGGUCUCGAAUUCUGCCGGUCAUCUCAGCCAAUUCCAUGUAGUCCAUCACUUUCAUCUGCCAUUCUUCUCGGGUGGGCAAUUCUUGUGUCUUCCAGUACUUCCCGAUGAGUAUUCUUGCUGCUGUUGUAGCAUACAUAAAGAAAGUUCUAUCAAGUAGGUGGAGUUUGGAGCACUCCCACUUUUAGAGGGGAAUACAGUGGUAGCAGAGACAUCACCUUGCCAACAAAGGUCCAUAUAGUUAAAGCCAUGGUUUUCCCAGCAGUGAUGUAUGGAAGUGAGAGCUGGACCAUAAAGAAGGCUGAUCGCCGAAGAAUUGAUGCUUUUGAAUUAUGGUGCUGGAGGAGACUCUUGAGAGUCACAUGGACUGCAAGAAGAUCAAACCUAUCCAUUCUGAAGGAAAUAAGCCCUGAGUGCCCACUGGAAAGACAGAUCCCGAAGCUGAGGCUCCAAUACUUUGGCCACCUCAUGAGAAGAGAAGACUCCCUGGAAAAGACCCUGAUGUUGGGAAAGAUUGAGGGCACAAGGAGAAGGGGACGACAGAGGACGAGAUGGUUGGACAGUGUUCUCGAAGCCACAAACAUGAGUCUGACCAAACUGCAGGAGGCAGUGAAAGACAGGAGUGCCUGGCCUGCUCUGGUCCAUGGGGUCACGAAGAGUCGGACAUGACUAAACGACUAAACAACAACAACACAGUGGUACCUCGGUUUACGAACUUAAUCCGUUCUGGAAGUCCGUUCUUAAACCGAAACCAUUCUUAAACCAAGGCACGCUUUCCCUAAUGAGGUCCGCUCUUAGACUGAGGUAAAGUUCGCAAACCGGAACACUACUUCCAGUUUUGCAGAGUUCGUAAACCGAAUAGUUUGUAAACUGGGCUGUUCUUAAACCAAGAUACCACUGUAACCACUUUUUUGAAAUUCCACUAUUUUUAAAAAAUAAUGCUCUAAUUCUUUAAAUGGGAGCUGUCACAGCAUAAAUAUACAGUACUUUAAAAAAAUUAUUAGGCAGGGCAAUGCAGCUCCUAGCUGCAGUCCUUUGAAGGUGAGACUCUGCUGUUAUACUGGGCCCAAACCAGAUAAAGAGUGGGUACAGAGGGCGUUCAUUUGUUCAUCUGUUGUAGUCUUUCCUCCAGAGCAACAUUCUAUCUUCACAACAACAACCCUGGGAGGUAAAACAGGCUGAGAGAUAGCAAUUGACCAAGGUCGCCCAGUGAGAUUCACAGUUGAAUGGGGAUUAGAACCUGGAUUUCCAAUUGAAAUAAAAGAAAUAAGGUCAUAUAUAUAUAUAUAUAUAUAUAUAUAUAUAUAUAUAUAUGUGUGUGUGUGUGUGUGUGUGUGUGUGUUUUAUAUAUAUGACCAAAUGUUUUCUCUGCAAGGUCGAAGGAAAUGGAAAAGCCCUCCCAUUGUCUUUUCCUUCACAAAUCCUGUCUUAAGGGUAUGUCUGUGUAUGAAUAGGGUGAGCCUGUGACCUGGCUCAGGAACUAAGUAUUUAUCAUUGCAAAAGACUGGCCAGGCUCCCCAGGGUAUCCAAUCAAGUAAGCAUUAACAGGUAACCUGCCAGACAGGAGAUAAACAACACACUCAGAUUUGUGUUGUAGACCACCCCUUUCUGUGAUGUAUGUAUGAUAUUUCUGAGGGUGGUCUUGGACUCUAAGGUGGGCAAUUUAAAAUGUCUAUACAGUGGUGCCCCGCAAGACGAAUGCCUCGCAAGAUGGAAAACCCGCUAGACGAAAGGGUUUUCCGUUUUUGAGUUGCUUCGCAGGACGAAUUUCCCUAUGGGCUUGCUUCGCAAGACGAAAAUGUCUUGCAAGUCUUGAGAUUUUUUUUCCGCUUUUCGCCCCCUUUAUCUAACCUGCUAAGCCUUUAAUAGCCUUUAAUAGCCUUUUAGCAGCUAAUCCGCUAAGCCUUUAAGCCUUUAAUAGCCGCUAAACCGCUAAUAGCGCUAAUCCGUUAAGCCGCUAAUAGGGUUGCUUCGCAAGACGAAAAAACCGCUAGACGAAGACUCUCGCGGAACGGAUUAAUUUCGUCUUGCGAGGCACCACUGUAUAAGGGUGGGCACACCUUUGUUCGGGGUCCUCCUCCUCCUGCGUGUGAAGGGGGCACCCUGUUUCAACAGUUCAAUAAAGAUCAGGCUUACGAGAUGCUUUGCUUCUCAAUAUUCUCUGGUUGGCCUUUGUUCUUUUCUCCGACCGAUGGAGAACCUACAAAGGACUCUAUAAGGGCUCUUGUGUCCCCCAUAAGGGAAUAAUGGCAGAUUUUCAUUUAUUACAGAAGCAUUCCAAUACCAGCUUUCAAAAGAAAGAUGCAAACUCCCCUAAGUUGCAAGCAGAAUGAGGAAGGGAUGUCUGGGCUUUGGGAGAGGGGCAGUAAGUGGGCAACUGAGGGGUAGUGGCUGGAGUGUUGGAUCAGGACCAAGAAACCUAGUUUCAUUGCUGAAUACAGAUAUGGAUUCAAUUAAAGCAACCUUGGCCAACCGCUGUCUUCUUUGCCUAACCUACUUCAUAGGGCUGUUGUAUGCUGCAGUAAGUUCCUUGGAGGAAGGGUUGGAUACAAUACAAUAAGCUGGGUGGGGAGUCCUUCAGAAUUUGCAGUGUAUGCAGAUUCACAUGUGAGAUAAUGGCACUCUAGCAAUCCUAAUUACCAUUCCCGGUCCUCUCCUCCACAGGAAAGUUGGAUUAACGUGACAGGACAUUCUCCAAGCAGGAGGAGGCUGACAGUGAGGCAAAGCCAUCUUGUUUGUCCAUUGUAAACCAGCAGAGAACCCAUGAGCAUGGUUGGGAUUUAGAGUGCUGCUAAUGAGGUAGGAAAAACAGAUUUUUCUAAUGGUCCUCACAUUUUGUUAGGGUGUGUGUGGAAACAGCCGGCAGUCCUCUCGCAGCACAAUCAGGGUUUUCCUUGGGCAGUAGUGACCAAGCCAUGGUUGGCAACAGAAAUAGCUGUUCUUUUCAGUCCCUUGAAACAUCACAUCACAUAUCUUCAGAUGGAAUCUGAUCUGACCAGCCAGAGAGCUCCCUUCACCUGCACCAGAGUCCUUCUCAUCAAGAUGCCACAACAACCUUUAUACCCUGACAAGACUCUCUAGUAAACCUGGAAGAUAAUUAAAUGAGUCUCUGGGACCGCUGCUCUUACCGGAGGCGAUGGUUGGAAUUUUGAGACAUCAUCAAUUUCCAAAGAAAGUAGAGGCACUGAGGUGUGUGUGUGGUUUUUUUAGUGCAUCUGAAUAAUUAAAAUGCCUUGAGCCAUCAAAAUACAAUUGGGAGCUGCCCAGAAGGCUCACCUCAAAUCACCUACUCAGAAGAGCAAGGUGAAUGAUUCAGAUACCUGACUGCCUUGGUCUUGCAUAUAAGCUGGAGAUAAGUGAAAGCAUAGUUUAAUCAUUAAGAUAAUUCCUCUGUAGGCCAGGGCUUCUCACCAAUCAGUUACAAGGAGCAAUCUGGUGUGGUGCAUUUCUUGGUCUAGGUACCUUAAAAACUCUUUUGCUGAAAAUCUCGGGAACUGAUACAUUAUCACAUGACAGGGGAACAGCAGCCAUUCUCUCCAGUCUGGAGAAAUUACCAAAUACCUGAAACAAGAUAAGCGGUCAUGAUCUGCAGAUGGUGACAGAUGUCACAGGAUAGGCUGUAACAGUGGGAUGAUUUCUGCAAAUGUGUGCAUUCACAUUCUGACAAACAAAAGUGGCUUCUGAGAUGCUUAGGGCCCCGAAAUUGGGGGGGGGGGGACACACAAUCUUGGAAAUGUUAAGAAUCAGCUCCCACCACAUGCAAAAGAGAGCAGGUGUUUACCAAGUCCUUUAUCUUUCUCUCAUUAAUCUAAAACUCCAGAUUAUUUGAAUCCAACAUAAAUUCUUCACAUGCAGAGUCUCUGUAAAUAACAGCUCCUUGUUGUAUUUGCUCAAACUGUUUUAAGCCUCUCUCAAGGCACUUAGUUAAAUGAAUAAUGUUAAAAUGUACCAGUUUGAAAUUUAGUAACACAUUUAUUAGAGGAACAAUAAAACAGAGGACAACUAGCACUGCUUCUUUCACUCUUUGAUACAUUUUGGAAGAUAAUGGAGCCAGGAGAGAAAACCCACCUUUAUUAGGUUGUGUCAUUCCAAAAAGGGUUCCCCUGGCUACCAGUGCAUUUAAUUAGAUAAGGCCAUUGUGCAAUUGUUUCACGGGUCUAAUUACUGCUCAGAGGAAUCCAGAGGUCUGGCUUGUUUUAUCUGCCUAGAAAAAGAAGAAAAUAGCAUCAAUCAAUGGUUUCCCUCCCCAGUUCUUUUCCAUUGUGUCCUUUGGAGUGGCUAAAAUAAAAUACUUAAUCUGAGCAAAAGGAUGUCAAAUGGGUUUUUCAAAGCUCUUCUCUUGAAGGAGCAGCUGAGAGGUUGGCAGCAGGCAAGCAUCUCCUAAAAUGGGAUCCUAAAAUGGUUCCAUGCCCUCAGGCCUCUGUGCCAACCACUGGCAAGCCCAAGUGGCUGAGCAUCAAGACUGGCUGCUGCCCAAUGGGCAGCUUUUCAACUCCACCACAUGCUUGUUCUGCCAAGUUCCCUUUAGGUAUCUAAACAUCCAGCAUUUCCAGCCCAGCUCAAGAGACUGAUUUUAAUCUCUCCUGACUGCUGUGUCUCAUACAGACAUGCAGUACACCAGCACUGACUGGGGUACUCUCCAAACUGUGUGCACUUUUAGUUAAAAUUAGCUGGAGUUACAAAUCAAGAACUGUUACUCUCCAAAUAGAAAGAAGAGAGUUGUGUCGGACAGCAGAUUGGGAGAACUGUGCCUGUCUCCUGCUCCAGCAGAACACCUGGGGAAACUCAUGGUUCAUGCCUCAGAUUUCUCAUGAUUAAAAAUGUGGAUCAUAAACCACUCACCAUCACCGGUUCCACCUAUGGAGGUUAUGAUAUUCAACAGAGUAUUGGAAACUAUUCAGAUGGAAACACAAGGGCUUACUUAGCAUGAAAUAUAUGAACCUAGACAGCCCAUGUGACAACAAGUGGCACUCCUACAUCAGAACUAUAAUGGACAUAAGAACAAGGUGCUUGAAAAGGACCAGGGCAUGACGUGUCAGUGGAGCUAUAAAUACGACUCUGUUCUUUGCCAUUUAAUCUGGUUAAAGGGGGCAAAAAUUGCCUGCUCGAAAGCUAGUCCUAUUUAUUUACAUUUUUAAAAAAUGCUUAAUUGUUUUCCAGCAAUGUACAAAAUGAGUCCCGUAAAUGUCAAUGGAACCUGUCUCCAAGUUACAGUAUUACUGCAUACAGGACUGCAAUCUAUAUCACUGGACUAACUUUGACCAUUUUCUUCAAGCAACAUGAAUAAUUAAUGGUAUUGACUAUGAAGAGAUCCACUCCCUGAGACCUCUUUAGAAAGGAUUAGGCCAGGGCUGGUAUAAUCUGUGUUUCUCCAGAUGUUGUUGGACCCAAAUUCCCAUCAGCCCCUGUCAGCAUAGCCAAUGCUCAGGGAAGAUGGGAGCUGUAGUCCAGCAGCAUAUGGGGGGCAAUAGCCCACUCCACCCCUGGAACAGGCAAAUCCAUGGUGGCUCUCUCAACAGCCAUGACAGUUACCUGGAAUUUCCAGGUUUAUAUGCUAAUAACAAACAACAAGUAAAGGCCAACAGCUUCACUUCCCUUCUUCAGAGUUCCUCAGAGGCAUCUGUCAAUCUGUGGUUGGAAAUAAAAUGCUGGACUAAGUGGAUCUUGUUCCAAUUCACUAUACCAUUAUUUUACUUUCUUUCUGUCUCAGCUUUCAAUACCCUGCCCAACUGACUCCGUGUAGUUCUGCACUGCAAACCUCAAGUCAAGUAUGUUUUCUGUGGGCCAACAGAACGGUUAUCUGCAAACAUAUCGUUUGCGUGAGACAUCCCUCCAGAAUCAAUGUUGGUGUUAAAAUUGCAGGCGGCUCAAUUUCUUUCUACUGGAAGUACAUAUGGGAGCAAUAAAAGCUGUCUCCAUCAGAUGACACAUCAGAUUGGGAUUCCCUUUUAACCAUCACCAGUGGGCUGCUGUCCAAGUGGAGAUGGAAGAACAGGGAGCAGUUUUGGCAAAAUGCCACAAGGCUAGCACUAAAGCACAGAGGAAGUGUUGGAUGAGUAGUAAGCAGGAGCUCCUCCUGUCUGUUUUAUGCUUUGCCAGUGGCUUGUUCCAUAAACCAGCAGCGUAGCAAAUGUUAAUCUCCACAGUGAAGAAAUAAUUGACCCAGUCUUGUACUCAGUACAUCCUGUUGUGUGGCUAUAGAGCAGUAGUGAGGAACCAGUGGCCCUCCUGACAUUAUUGGACUACAACUUCCAUUAUCCCUGGGCCAUUGGCCAUGAUAGGAGUCUGGAAUUUUAAAGAUCUGUCAUUUACUGUACAUUGCUUGCUAAUAAAUUGUAUGGUAAAGGAAAUCCACAUAUCUCACUACUAUUUAUAUGGAUAACACUUUCCAUGCUCAUUUGUCUGUAUUUUGCUUAUAUCUAUUUUUGAAUUUGAUAUUUUGCUG